rnacentral:rRNA from 1 species
AUUGAACGCUGGCGGCGUGCUUAACACAUGCAAGUCGAGCGGUAACAGGUGUAGCAAUACAUGCUGACGAGCGGCGAACGGGUGAGUAAUGCUUCGGAAUCUGCCCAGUAAUGGGGAAUAACUAGCCGAAAGGUUAGCUAAUACCGCAUACGACCCCUUUUUGUAAUGAAGGGGGGUGAAAGCGGGGGAUCGCAAGACCUCGCGUUAUUGGAUGAGCCGAAGUCGGAUUAGCUAGUUGGUAGGGUAACGGCCUACCAAGGCGACGAUCCGUAGCUGGUCUGAGAGGACGACCAGCCACACUGGGACUGAGACACGGCCCAGACUCCUACGGGAGGCAGCAGUGGGGAAUAUUGGACAAUGGGGGCAACCCUGAUCCAGCGACGCCGCGUGUGUGAAGAAGGCCUGCGGGUUGUAAAGCACUUUUAGUGGGGAGGAAACGCUCAGACCUAACACGUCUGGGAACUGACUUAACCCAAAGAAAAAGCACCGGCUAACUCUGUG